GACGAACGCUGGCGGCGCGCCUAACACAUGCAAGUCGAACGAGCGAGAGAGAGCUUGCUUUCUCGAGCGAGUGGCGAACGGGUGAGUAACGCGUGAGGAACCUGCCUCAAAGAGGGGGACAACAGUUGGAAACGACUGCUAAUACCGCAUAAGCCCACGGCUCGGCAUCGAGCAGGGGGAAAAGGAGCAAUCCGCUUUGAGAUGGCCUCGCGUCCGAUUAGCUAGUUGGUGGGGUAACGGCCCACCAAGGCGACGAUCGGUAGCCGGACUGAGAGGUUGAACGGCCACAUUGGGACUGAGACACGGCCCAGACUCCUACGGGAGGCAGCAGUGGGGAAUAUUGCACAAUGGGGGAAACCCUGAUGCAGCGACGCCGCGGGGAGGAAGAAGGUCUUCGGAUUGUAAACUCCUGUUGGUGGGGAAGAUAAUGACGGUACCCAACAAGGAAGUGACGGCUAACUACGU
rnacentral:rRNA from 1 species